rnacentral:rRNA from 1 species
UUUUGGAGCCAGCCGCCUAAGGUGGGAUAGAUGAUUGGGGUGAAGUCGUAACAAGGUAGCCGUAUCGGAAGGUGCGGCUGGAUCACCUCCUUU